AACCUAGCACACCUGCGGUGUGUACCUGCGGAGGGAUCAUUACAGAGUUGCAAAACUCCCUAAACCAUUGUGAACGUUACCUAAACCGUUGCUUCGGCGGGCGGCCCGGGUCCUUCCCGGCGCCCCUCGGCCCUCGCGGGCGCCCGCCGGAGGUAAACCAAACUAUUGCAUUGUAUGGCCUCUCUGAGUCUUCUGUACUGAAUAAGUCAAAACUUUCAGCAAUGGAUCUCAGAUCGGAAG
rnacentral:misc_RNA from 1 species